rnacentral:tRNA from 1 species
CAUUGAAUGUCUGAAAGCAAGUGUAAGUCUUUUAAACUUAUAAUGGUAGUUUACGCCUACCUUCAAUGG